GAUGAACGCUGGCGGCGUGCCUAAUACAUGCAAGUCGAGCGAACAGACGAGGAGCUUGCUCCUCUGACGUUAGCGGCGCACGGGUGAGUAACACGUGGAUAACCUACCUAUAAGACUGGGAUAACUUCGGGAAACCGGCGCUAAUCCCGUAUAAUCUAUUGAACCGCAUUGUUCAAUAGUGAAAUACGGUGUUGCUGUCACUUAUAGCUGGAUCCCCGCCGCAUUAGCUAGUUGGUAAGGUUACAGCUUACCAAGGCAACGAUGCGUAGCCGACCUGAGAGGGUGAUAGCCCACACUGGAACUGAAACAGGGACAAGACUACUACGGGAGGCAGCAGUAGGGAAUCUUCCGCAAUGGGCGAAAGCCUGACGGAGCAACGCGGCGUGAGAGAUGAAGGUCUUCGGAUCGGAAAACUCUGUUAUUAGGGAAGAACAAAUGUGUAAGUAACUAUGCACGUCUUGACGGUACCUAAUCAGAAAGCCACGGCUAACUACGUG
rnacentral:rRNA from 1 species